CAGUGACGAUUUAAGUCAAGUGGCAUGAAGAUCUAACUUCACUUGACAGAAGAUAGCAUUACGCUUACAAUACAUUUUUUUUAUAAAUGUUAGUGUAGAUUUGUAUUUAUUUCCAGAAAGCCUUUGAGGCCAUAUCAAGUUUGUAGUCAAGUACCCGUCUUCUCAAAUCUCAGUGAUACAAGUCUUAGAUAAACAAGACUCCUCUGUUUCCUUGUGACGGGUCCCCCACUCCUGAAAAACCUGUGUGGUGAGCUGGAAGCUGAGAAGUCACUGCAGAGUGAUAUUAGAGGUGAUCCAAGUAGGUCUUUCACAGAAAUCAAAUUUCCUACACAAACAAUUAGUCUCAUUAUAAACAAUUUUUGAUUGUUUUUUUGUUUUGUUUUUUAAAUGUAUGUCUAUAGUCUGUUCCCUCUACACAUUAUACUUUAUCUUGCCAACUGAUACAGAUUUAAAUUUGAUGUAGUUACUAACCAGCAUUACUAUUUAAAUCACAGUCAUCUUUGACAGACACAAUUGUUUCAAAUUCUCUUUUAAUACGUUCUAUAGAAAGGUGACUGUUGUGUGGACUGAUGCAACAGCUCUGGUUUUCAUUAUUAGCCUCCACAUUCCCAGACACGGAAUGACCUAAUAGGGCUAAAUUGGGUGUAAGACAUUUGGGGGUUUCCUAACAAAAGCAGGGAAUGUGUAGAUAGUCUGGUGUGACACUGAUCUGGGAAGCUGGUCUUGAAUUUCCAUAAAACAGAAAAGCAGUGCUUUGUGGAUCAUGGGAAGCCAGUAAAUGUGUGCAUGCUGACUUCACAUAAAUGCAGUAAAAACAUCUGUUCAUGAAAAGAGUCUGUUUGAAUCUUAAAAGAAUACGUAUAAAAUGGUCUGAAAAUUCUGAUUCAGUAUUAGAAAUUAGUUAAUUAGACGGACUGUGCAUGUAGGACGUUUCGGGGACAAAGUGAGAGAGGCCCAAUUGAGAUGGUUUGGACAUGUGCAGAAGAGGGACAUAGGUUAUAUCGGUAGGAGAAUG